GUCGGUGUGGUGGAGUGGUUUGAGUGCUGGAUUGCAAUUCUGGAGACCAGGGUUUGAUUCCCAGCUUGGCCA
rnacentral:tRNA from 1 species